CACUCCUGCGGGAGGCAGCAGUGGGGAAUUUUGGACAAUGGGCGAAAGCCUGAUCCAGCCAUGCCGCGUGCAGGAUGAAGGCCUUCGGGUUGUAAACUGCUUUUGUACGGAACGAAACGGCCUUUUCUAAUAAAGAGGGCUAAUGACGGUACCGUAAGAAUAAGCACCGGCUAACUACGUGCCAGCCGCCGCGGUAAUACGUAGGGUGCAAGCGUUAAUCGGAAUUACUGGGCGUAAAGCGUGCGCAGGCGGUUAUGUAAGAGAGUUGUGAAAUCCCCGGGCUCAACCUGGGAACUGCAUCUGUGACUGCAUAGCUAGAGUACGGUAGAGGGGGAUGGAAUUCCGCGUGUAGCAGUGAAAUGCGUAGAUAUGCGGAGGAACACCGAUGGCGAAGGCAAUCCCCUGGACCUGUACUGACGCUCAUGCACGAAAGCGUGGGGAGCAAACAGGAUUAGAAACCCGUGUAGUCCC
rnacentral:rRNA from 1 species